GAAAUUCCUUGAAACACAAUAUUUUAUGAUGUGAAAAUUAUGUUGACACACAAAUUAAACCCUAUUGAUGACAAUUGUAGUAAUGAUGCAAGUAGGGAUCGUUCUAGACCGGGGAUUAACUAGGGGUGCUAAUCGACACAAAUAAGACUCAAAAACAUUAAACUAGACUCAAUAGACUCAAAACUAACUUAAAACACUAAAAACAGCAAGAAACAAUCAAAAAGACACAAUUCUAGACCUAGCAAGUGAUUUGGACGAAAAUAGAACUUCAAAGACUCAAAAGACUUAAAGAAAACAUGUUUUGACUCUAAAAACAAGAUUUAAAAGUAAAGGGAUUGGUUUUGACGAAAUUGGACUUUAAAACAUAAACUUUAAAAACAAACUUUAAUGAAAACGAUUUUGAUGAAAUAGAAUGGGGAAAUGCUAGUUAGAGGGUUCCUUCUCCACACAUGAAACAUAUGCAUACGACUCGAUUUCCAAUUACUCUUUCAACAAACCAUGAAUGACAUUGCCCCAAAUUAACUAGAUUGACCAAUUAAUUCUCAGAUUUCC
rnacentral:lncRNA from 1 species